AGACUCGGUCCUGCUAGCCCCAAUGUUGAGACGCUGUGUGAGGUGCAGGACAAAAUGUCUAAAAGUUGCCCGGAGCUGCUGAGAGAAGCAGCGAAUUUGAUUGAGGAAGCUCUGAGCAGAAGUCCAACGGCUCCCGCGGCACCGGUGACUCCGGCAGCUCAGUCACAGCAGAUACCGGCCGCUCAAUCACGUACACCUGUCCAAGCGGAGGUAGCAAGGCUCUUUGCGCCAUAUAACAUUGGAGCCAGAAGGAAUAUGACGAGACGACCAGCACAAGUCCAAGUUAGCCGAAGAAGCUACACACACACUGUCUGUUGUUUGGCUGACCACAAUGCGGAUAAAAUUCCAAGCGUACUGUUUAAAGCUGAACUUCUUACUUCAGGACUUGGAGAGCAAAAAGUAACAUUUUCAGGGAAUGACCACGAUCCCAUGGUUAUAACAAAUAAACUGAUGGAAGUGUUUCCGAAGCUCCAACAAGGGGGAGGCCUUACAAUAUCGUUGCAAUAUCGACAUCAAGGUGUUAGGUCAAAAAUGUGAUAUUUGAUUUUCUCCAUAUUGCCCAGCCCUAAUGUCAAUGCAUACACAGUUCAGAUGAAUUGAC